CUACGGGGCGCAGCAGUGGGGAAUAUUGCGCAAUGGGCGAAAGCCUGACGCAGCAACGCCGCGUGAGGGAUGAAGGCCUUCGGGUUGUAAACCUCUUUCAGCAGGGAAGAAGCGAAAGUGACGGUACCUGCAGAAGAAGCACCGGCUAACUACGUGCCAGCAGCCGCGGUAAUACGUAGGGUGCAAGCGUUGUCCGGAUUUAUUGGGCGUAAAGAGCUCGUAGGCGGUUAGUCACGUCGGAUGUGAAAAUCCAAGGCUUAACCUUGGACCUGCAUUCGAUACGGGCUGACUAGAGUGUUGUAGGGGAGACUGGAACUCCUGGUGUAGCGGUGAAAUGCGCAGAUAUCAGGAAGAACACCGAUGGCGAAGGCAGGUCUCUGGGCAACUACUGACGCUGAGGAGCGAAAGCGUGGGGAGCAAACAGGAUUAGAUACCCCCGUAGUC
rnacentral:rRNA from 1 species